rnacentral:rRNA from 1 species
UGGGGAAUUUUGGACAAUGGGCGAAAGCCUGAUCCAGCAAUGCCGCGUGUGUGAAGAAGGCCUUCGGGUUGUAAAGCACUUUUGUCCGGAAAGAAAUCCUUGGCUCUAAUACAGUCGGGGGAUGACGGUACCGGAAGAAUAAGCACCGGCUAACUACGUGCCAGCAGCCGCGGUAAUACGUAGGGUGCAAGCGUUAAUCGGAAUUACUGGGCGUAAAGCGUGCGCAGGCGGCUUGCUAAGACCGAUGUGAAAUCCCCGGGCUCAACCUGGGAACUGCAUUGGUGACUGGCAGGCUAGAGUAUGGCGGAGGGGGGUAGAAUUCCACGUGUAGCAGUGAAAUGCGUAGAGAUGUGGAGGAAUACCGAUGGCGAAGGCAGCCCCCUGGGCCAAUACUGACGCUCAUGCACGAAAGCGUGGGGAGCAAACAGGAUUAGAUACCCUGGUAGUCCACGCCCUAAACGAUGUCAACUAGUUGUUGGGGAUUCAUUUCCUUAGUAACGUAGCUAACGCGUGAAGUUGACCGCCUGGGGAGUACGGUCGCAAGAUUAAAACUUAAAGGAAUUGACGGGGUCAUA